rnacentral:rRNA from 1 species
UUUAACGGCCGCGGUAUCCUAACCGUGCAAAGGUAGCGUAAUNACUUGUCUCUUAAAUAGGGACCUGUAUGAACGGCUAAAUGAGGAUUAAUCUGUCUCCUUUAACAAAUCAGUGAAACUGAUCCACCAGUACAAAAGCUGGUAUAUUUNCAUAAGACGAGAAGACCCUGUGGAGCUUUAAAUUCAAGCCAAGCAGCAAAUAUAAAAUAGGCCAAUGGCUAAAAAUUUUAAGUUGGGGCGACUUCGGAAAAAAACAAAACUUCCGAGCAUAAGACCAUGUCUUACCAAGACCAACAAGUCAAAGCUAAAAAUUGACCCAGUACAACUGAUCACCGAACCAAGUUACCCCAGGGAUAACAGCGCAAUCUUCUUCAAGAGUCCCUAUCGACAAGAAGGUUUACGACCUCGAUGUUGGAUCAGGACACCCAAAUGGUGCAGCCGCNNUUAAAGGUUC